UGCCAGCCGCCCCGGUAAGACACAGGCCUCAAGCGUUAUCCGGAUUCACUGGGCGCAAAGGGUGCGUAGGCGGUUAUAUUAGUCGGGUGUAAAAUCCUGGGGCUCAACCUCAGGCUCGCAUUCGAAACGGUAUAACUAGAAGAUGUGAGAGGUAAACAGAACUCUCGGUGUAGGGGUGAAAUCCGUUGAUAUCGAGGGGAAUACCAAAUGCGAAGGCAGUUUACUGGCACAUUCUUGACGCUGAGGCACGAAAGCGUGGGUAGCGAACGGGAUUAGAUA
rnacentral:rRNA from 1 species